GUCUACGGCCAUGCCACCCUGAACAAGCCUGAUGUCUGAUCUCGGAAGCUAAGCAGGGUUGGUUGGGCCUGGUUAGUACUUGGAUGGGAGACCACAUAGAAAGACCAGGUGCUGUAGGCA
rnacentral:rRNA from 1 species